GACGAACGCUGGCGGCGUGCCUAAUACAUGCAAGUUGAGCGCUGAAGGUUGGUACUUGUACCGACUGGAUGAGCAGCGAACGGGUGAGUAACGCGUGGGGAAUCUGCCUUUGAGCGGGGGACAACAUUUGGAAACGAAUGCUAAUACCGCAUAAAAACUUUAAACACAAGUUUUAAGUUUGAAAGAUGCAAUUGCAUCACUCAAAGAUGAUCCCGCGUUGUAUUAGCUAGUUGGUGAGGUAAAGGCUCACCAAGGCGAUGAUACAUAGCCGACCUGAGAGGGUGAUCGGCCACAUUGGGACGGAGACACGGCCCAAACUCCUACGGGAGGCAGCAGUAGGGAAUCUUCGGCAAUGGACGAAAGUCUGACCGAGCAACGCCGGGUGAGUGAAGAAGGUUUUCGGAUCGUAAAACUCUGUUGGUAGAGAAGAACGGUGGUGAGAGUGGAAAGCUCAUCAAGUGACGGUAACUACACAGAAAGGGACGGCUAACUACGUG
rnacentral:rRNA from 1 species